GCCACUGCUAUUGGGGUUCGGCUAAGCCAUGCGAGUGGAGGGCGUCCCGCAAGGGAUGGCCCCGCAGACGGCUCAGUAACACGACGUCAACCCACCUUAGGGUGGGGGACAACCUCGGGAAACUGAGGAUAAUCCCCCAUAGGCGGGGGAGGCUAGAAUGCGCCCCCGCUGAAAGCUCAGGCGCCCUAGGACGGGACGGCGGCCUAUCAGGUAGUUGGUGGUGUGACG
rnacentral:rRNA from 1 species